AACAAAGUAUUAACUUCAGAAUUGAAUUCCUAUUAAUAAACAUGGAAUAACCUCGGAAUAACAAUACUAUCCUUAUACUAGGUUUAAUCCUUUUAUUAUGGUAACCCAGAAAUUUUAAAAGUAAAAAGACUGAGAAGGAGGUAUGAAAUCGUAUGAAACCUAUGAAAUCACUGCUUUAUUGACUUGACAGAUGUAUGUUAGCUUGACAUCUUGACAAGUUGCUGUCGCUGUCAGUUUUGUCGAAAAAUUAUUAAUUUGUUUACUUACAUAAUUAAUAUACAAUUCAAUUUAUAAAUAACGAAAAACGAGCGAAAAGCACAGCCGCGCUAUUAACUAGCGCAAAGAACAAAAGAUUUCAGCCAUAAAAUUAUAACGCCUCGGUUCCAAAAUAAUAUUUUCAAAUCAUUGAAAAUAAAUCGUUAAGCACAAACACCAACACAAUCAAGAUAAAAGAGUGGGAGGAAAUAUUAUAAAUAUACCCUAUACAAGGUUUAACGAGUUGAAUAGCAGACGUGAGUUAAAUCAGCUGAAAAUUCAGUAGAAAGUCAUGAAGAUCAAUGCUCGAAAACAAGAAGCUAAGGCAACAAGCCACUUGGAUUGAUAUUUACCUCUCCAUGGGCCUAUGUUCCGAUUGCACUCAAAACUUUCAAAUAGGGUGGUAUAAAGCCACCUCUGGCGUCACCAGCUAGAUUAUUUUUACCAUGUCAAUAAUAAAAACUGCAGUAAAUCGGUAUUUUGAUUUCUCUUCUUCUUCACGUUCCUCUAUCUUA